AAAAACAUCGGCAGAUCCUUGAUCGGCAAUUUGUUCCAAAUCUGAAAAAUGAAAAUGUGCAAUUUAUAAAAUUAAGGCGAAUUAAGAAAAAUAAUGAACUCAUAAACCAAAACACUACAACGUAGUACUGAAGUGAUGCUCGUAAACUUUGGCAUAAUAAUAGCUAAUAACCAUAAAACACAUGUACGGUGAAACAUGUUUAUUUUUGAAUGUAGUUAGGAUAGGAAUAAGUAGAAAACAUCUUUACUCCACUAAAAGCACUAAACGGCUCUUGGAAUUUCUAGCCAACAUGCCGAAAUCGAAUUCCACAAGAACAGCCGAAGCUCAGCAGCAAAGGCAUAAAAUAGCAAAAAAAGGGGAAAAGUAUGGUCCCAGCACAAUAUACUUGCAAGUUUUAGGUUCAGGAGCCAGAGGUGCUUCCAAUGCAUUAUAUCUUUUCACUGACCAAAAACGCUAUCUAUUUAAUUGUGGGGAGAGCACUCAACGCAUUGCUCAUGAGCACAAAGUGAAACUGUCCAGAUUAGACCAUAUAUUCAUUACAAGUAAGACAUGGAAGAAUAUUGGAGGGCUGCCCGGACUGUCACUGACACUGCAAGAUGUUGGUGUACCGAAGCUUACUCUUCAUGGGCCUGAAGGAUUGGAUGAACUUUAUACUGCAACUAAAAGAUUUGUAAUUAUGAAGGAUCUUAAUGUGUCAACGGCUAAUUGCACACCAUGUGAGGACUUUGAAGAUAAUGUAAUGAGUGUAAAAUAUGUUUUGCUAGGUCCCCAUAGUCUCCUACAAACACCUAAUAAACAACCAGCAAAGAAACCUAAACUUGAUAUCUCUCCAGAUACAGAAUUUGAAGAAUUUCUUCAUGAUAACACAGAUUACUAUAGAAGAGACAGUGUUGACUCUAAUAAAAAUGUUAAGCCAAAACCAUUGGAAAAAGGUGUUGACAGAGAUACUUUGAAAAAUAAUAAUGAGAAAGUAUUACAAGACUUGCAGAAGUUGGCACAUUGUUCGGUGGCAUAUAUUUGUACAGUGAAGAAACGGCUCGGCACGUUAGAUCUAGAAAAGUGCGUGGAGAUGGGAGUUAAGCCGGGCCCCAUGCUGGGUCAGCUGAAGAGUGGCCAGGACGUCAUGCUGCCCGAUGGUAGAGUUGUAUUGUCCAAGGAUGUGAAGACGCCGGACGACCCUGGGCCUGUGUUCAUUGUGCUGGAAGUUCAAGACAUAAACUACCUGAAGGAGUCCGACUUCAAGCUGCACUUCGACACGGAGGGCAACCUACGAGAGAACAUACCCGCGCUCAUCGUGCACUACACGCCACCGCAUGUCUUCAACCAUCCUGAUUAUCAGUCGUUUAUGGCCAAGUUCGGAGCCACUACAAAUCAUCUGGUGCUCAACGAUCUGAACUCAUGUCUCGGCUCGGAAGCCGUCCACCGCAUCCAACACAAGCUUCAUCUGCUCAAUGAGGAUAUAUUCCCGCUUCUAAAAGAUGUGAGUGUGCCAGCCGUGUGGAACGCUCAUCCUAGAUUGGACAAGACCAGCAGUCCUACCAGAUUGAAGGGUCUUGAGGAGCUUAAGAAUAAGAUUGCGCUGGCGCAGUUCCAGAAUAUUAUAAACAUGGAAGGCACGGGGAGCAGCGAGGGACAGCUGCAGCAGGAAAACAAGCUGCAGAUUGCUGCCGGGAGAACUCUCACAAUGUUCCACUUGAGACCCAAGAGAGAGAUCGACAGAUCUGCAGAACCGAAGCUUCACAUCCAGGACUACAUCGAGGAGACAAUGGAUGUGGAUGGUUUCGUGGGCAGCUUGCAGCACUUCAAAAAGCUAGUGGACUCUAUGCGCUACGGAAAGAGGAACGAGUCGGAGUUCCCCAGGAUCACUUUUCUUGGUACCGGAUCCUGCAUACCCAGCAAGACGAGAAACACCAGCGCCAUUGUACUGCAGAUUGAUGAACAGCGUUCAAUGCUACUGGACUGCGGCGAAGGAACGUUUAAUCAACUAGUACGGUUCAACGGAGCGAAGCGGGUGAACACCUUCCUGAGGACCCUGAAGGCUAUAUACGUGUCGCAUCUGCACGCUGAUCAUCAUAUAGGUUUAAUCGGCGUUCUGCAAGCUCGUCGGCAGGCGCUUGAUGAGAUGCCGAAUCCGACUUCACCGCACGAACCUGUCUACCUUCUAGCACCAGGACAGAUCGUCAGUUGGCUGGCCAAGUACGAUCAGCAGUUUGAGAGCAUCAGGGGUGACUAUACGCUGAUACCCAAUCAAAAUCUGGUGGAAUCAAAGCAAUCAGACCCGGCUAGCACGGACUUAUCAUCAGCCGUGCUGGCGUCUAUCGGCGUGGACAAGAUCACCACGUGCUACGUGUCACACUGUCCUAACGCAUUCGGUGUUGCCAUACAGGUGGACGCGGGGCACAAGAUCACCUACUCCGGGGAUACCAUACCGUGUGACGAGCUGGUCAAGAUUGGUAAAGAGUCAACAGUGCUCAUCCACGAGGCUACUAUGGAAGACGAGCUCGCCGACGAGGCUCGCAUCAAGAUGCACUCCACCACGUCGCAGGCGAUCGAGAUCGGGCGAGCGAUGAACGCGCGGUAUACCGUCCUGACGCACUUCAGUCAGCGGUAUUCGAAGCUGCCCCGGCUUAACGCGCAAAUACUGCACGACAACAAGAGUGUUGGCAUUGCCUUCGACAAUAUGCAGAUAACGAUGAGCGACUUGGAUCUGCUGCCUCUGAUGUACGCGCCCCUUCAGCUGAUGUUCGCCGAACACUGCGUGGAGCUGGAACUGAAGGCGGCUCACCGUGCUCGCACCAGGGUCAAGGCAGCAGCCUCUCUCUCGUGUGCCGGCACCGUGCGGAACUAUACCACGGACUGUGCGCGGUCAGGAGACGAGCACCGAGCCGACCCCCCACUUGAUAACGGCACGCCGCCCUCCACAGAGGUAACUUACAAAAGAGAACCUAAAGUUCGAAGAGCAAUGUCGUUGUCAACUCCUAAAGCAAAAUACAGAGAAAGCAAUGCUUCGAUGCUACGACAAGAGUCCAAGGGUAUGUCCAUUAACGGCGUAGUGAAGCCCGGAUUCCGCAGCAAAUCUUCAUCACCUGCGAAGCUGUCUGAAAACUCUGCAAACAGUACCCGAAGCAAUAGUGUAUCACAUUCUCCAAACAGGAAUGUUGACCUCAAAGCACAAGUGACCAGUAAGCGGGAAACGUCACCAACUUCAAAAAUAUCCAAAGACAAGUGUAAAGCCGCUUUGACUCCAGUACAACAACACGUAGUCGACACUCGCUCUAAAACUAUUAACAACGCGACACUUGCGACGGCUCCCAAUGAAGAUCCCAAUGAACAUAAGAACAGCAAAACCAUCAAGAGUCAAAAAUCAAACGAACCACCUAGCUUGAUUAGUACAGAUGUGUCACAAGGUUACGGACGACCGUUAGUUACACCGAUUAAACAAAAACUGACUAUAAGAAGAGAACCCCGAACAACAGUUAACGUCGCUGCAGCUGCCAUCGUCGAAAAAUCCCAAAACCGAGUCGACAGAUCCCGAUCACCUUUAAAAUCCUGGAAAGCUGUCAACGAGGACAUCUCGCCAAACCGCAUCAACAGAUCACGUUCACCCCUGAGAUCCUGGAAAGCGCAAAACAGACAGCCUCCUCCUUCAUCUGCUGCAAACAAACAGGAUUUAAUUCGAAGCACAUUAUUAAUAGACAUAGCGAUUGGCAUACUUCUUAAUACUCUAUUUUGGAAAGCACACUAUCUGGUCUCGUGUGUGCCGCCCUUACAAUGGCAGAUUAUGAUGACAGUAAUUGCAGUUACUUAUUUGUUUUGGACAGCCAAUAAGACAGGCGAGCCUAAAUUUAAGACCCCUGGACUAGCUUUCAAUACCAAAAAGGAACUAAGAAAUAUUGAGCAGAACGGCGGUGCUACUAAUAAUUAUUUGUUCAAGCCCCAGCUGUCGACGAGGAGUGAAUCGGUAUCUAGGAGACAGGUCUCUGCAGAUAGAAAAGCACACGGCAACAGUUUCUCCGCAACCAAAGUGCAGGCAAACGGCAGAACAUCCUCAGCAUUUAAACCCAACACUGCCAGCAAGCUAGUUAAUCAAUUGGUGAGGUCAGGUGAACCGUCUCGGGAGUCCUUGGGGAGUCAACUGAGGGGCACGAUCAUGAAAGAGAUCAAGCCGCAAAAUUUUAUUGGAAGGCCAAACUUUUCCAAUCAAAGCAGUAAAGCGUUCAAGCCACAGUUGGAGGAUAUAAAGAGUUCGUUCUUACUCCUCAACAAGAAGUUCGAUAGAAAUCUCAAGGGAACUAACAAUAAUGUGAAAAGUGGGCCGGUUCUGCAUUCAUUUGCAUUCGGAAGAGUCACAGAUUAUAUGUCUCAGUAAGAUCGGAACGUGAAAGGAAAAAACAUGGCCCAUAUUCACUCAAGGUUAUUACAAAAAUGAUAUAUCAAAACCAAGACCAUUAGAUGAAGAAGCCAGGAGACUACAACUUUUAGAAGCAAUGGAUAAAUUUAAAAGUAGACGGUUCCUUCAAGAUUCUAGUAGGAUUUGACAAAAUAGAAGGACUAAAUUGGAUAUCAUGGAAAUAGUAUCCUGUUGUGGUAGUACUUGUCUUAAAUUAUUGUUGUAACCAAGUUUACGAGCAUAAUGACAAUAAAAAAUGUAAAUUUUA